GACGAACGCUGGCGGCGUGCCUAAUACAUGCAAGUAGAACGCACAGUUUAUACCGUAGCUUGCUACACCAUAGACUGUGAGUUGCGAACGGGUGAGUAACGCGUAGGUAACCUGCCUGGUAGCGGGGGAUAACUAUUGGAAACGAUAGCUAAUACCGCAUAAUAUUAAUUAUUGCAUGAUAAUUAAUUGAAAGGUGCAAUUGCACCACUACCAGAUGGACCUGCGUUGUAUUAGCUAGUAGGUGAGGUAACGGCUCACCUAGGCGACGAUACAUAGCCGACCUGAGAGGGUGAUCGGCCACACUGGGACUGAGACACGGCCCAGACUCCUACGGGAGGCAGCAGUAGGGAAUCUUCGGCAAUGGACGAAAGUCUGACCGAGCAACGCCGCGUGAGUGAAGAAGGUUUUCGGAUCGUAAAGCUCUGUUGUAAGAGAAGAACGGGUGUGAGAGUGGAAAGUUCACACUGUGACGGUAUCUGACCAGAAAGGGACGGCUAACUACGU
rnacentral:rRNA from 1 species